GGCCGUUGAUGUGAGAAACGAUAUUUGCUACUCUUGAUAGGGGACAUAAAUAAUCCUCUUAUCUGAUGAUUCCUAUCCACCAAGAUCUCUGAGGCC